rnacentral:rRNA from 1 species
UAUAGAAAUAUAAGAUAAAAUAGAUAUAGUUUAAUUUUUCUUUAAAACAUUCAUUAAUAUUGUAAAGGUGAUUGACAUUUUAUAUAUAUUAUCUUUUAAGUACUGCAAAGGAAAUAUUGAAAUCAAAAAUUAGUAGUAAUUAAACCACCUACCUUUUGUAUCAUGGUUUAGCUAGAUUUUCCUAUAAAUAUAACUUCUCGAAACUUGGUGAGCUAUCUUUUGCUGGUAUAAUAGUGCAUAAAGAUUAACUGUGGCAUAAUUUUUCUAAAAGCUAAAGAUAGAAAUGAAAUUUUAUUCGUACCAAGUGAUAGCUAGUUUUCCCUUUAAAGUAUAGAAGUACUAGAAAUUUUUUUCUAGCAUCGGGAAUGCGCCCGUGUUAAAACAUAAGUUUCUGCAAGUUUUAAAGGAUAAGCUUUAAAAUUUACUUCAAUAUAGCAGUUAUUAAAAUUUUAAAUUUAGGCUUGAAAAUAGCCAAAAUAUUUAAAUUUGUUAUAAUUUAUUUAAUAUUUUUUAAAAUAAUUGAUCUGCUUUAAAAAUAGGGAAUAGUUUCUAUAAAUCAACUGUAGAAACCAUUAAUGCUAAAAUGAGUAUUUAUUAAUUUAUAUUUUUUAACUUACUUAAUCUUAAAAAAUAAUUGUAUUAUGUGUAAAUAAAUUUUUAAAAAGGAAUUCGGCAAAAUUAUUGUUCUGCCUGUUUAGCAAAAACAUCGCUCCUUGAUUUUAAUUAAUAAGGAGUCGGACCUGCCCAGUGAUAAGUAUUUAACGGCCGCGGUACUCUGACCGUGCAAAGGUAGCAUAAUCAUUUGCCCUAUAAUUGAGGGCUAGUAUGAAUGGUUUGACAAGAACAAUACUGUCUCUUUCAAAAUUUCUAGAAUUUAUUCUUUAGGUGAAGAAACCUAAAUAAAAUUAAAAGACAAGAAGACCCUAUCGAGCUUAAACUCUUUUUAUAAAAUAAAAAAAAUUAAUAAUAUUUUUUGUUAUAAAAAAUUUUGGUUGGGGCGACUAAGGAACAAAAAAAGCUUCUUUAUUUAAUAAAGACAAAUGUGUAUUGAUCCAUAAAAUCUUGAUUAAAAGAAUUAGUUACCGUAGGGAUAACAGCAUAAUCUUUUUUAAGAGUUCUUAUCGAAAAAAAGGUUUGUGACCUCGAUGUUGGACUAAAAUUUCCUAAUAGAUGCAGACGUCUUUAAGGGUUGGUCUGUUCGACCAUUAAAAUUUUACAUGAUCUGAGUUCAGACCGGCGUGAGCCAGGUCAGUUUCUAUCUUUAAUUUUUAUAUUAAGCUUAGUACGAAAGGACCAGCUUAUAACAACUUUUGUUAAGACAGAUUCAGUCUAAUUAUAACAUCAGUUUUUACUAUAUAAAAGUAGCAAAUACGUGCAUUAGGUUUAAGCCC